rnacentral:lncRNA from 1 species
AUGCUGCCCCCCAUAAGACCCCUCACCCCCGGCUCAGUCAAGCUCAACCUCCUCUAUUUCCAAAACUCGCUGCACUUUCUCCAAAAGGAAAACGCGGAUCACGCCCUACGCAUCACUCCGCCAUGUCACGUAGUCCCCACAUUAAAACACUGCCGGGGAGCCCGCCAGCGCGCCCGGGAUGGCAGCCGACGCUCCUACCCGUCCUCCGGAUCACCUAACUCGCUUUCAGACGGCGCCGGCGCCGAGGGGGAACCGGCUAAAUUCGCUUAUUUCAACUCGCUCCCCGUGGACGGAUACCGUAGUGCGGUUUGUGCUUCUCCUGGGGGGGGGGAGGACAGCCAUGCCCUGUGUAAGACAGAAGGAAGAGUCUGGCUCUCCGAGAGGCCAGAGAGAGGGGUGUGUGGAGACAUAACAUCUGGAUACCUCCUCAGCCGGUGCAAGUCCCCCCUGCCCCCCGCACACAGAGACCCCACAACACACAGGCCUGCUGCUUGGGAUACUUCCAGUGAACGUCUUCAUCCAGAUCUUCUCCUGUCAGCUGGGACACCAGGCAGCUGCGGGGCGCAGCUGGAGGGGUCUGGGCCCGGAGUUUUCCAUCUCAAGCUCUGACAGGAGCGUGGAGGCUGCCCGGCCCUGCGAGACACCACCACUGACGCCAUGAGCCCAGGGAAGGAGAGGAUACCGGUUAAAGACAGAGCAGGAGCAGGGACAGUGAAGAACCCUUGAAAUCAGAACACGACAGGACAGAGUGGGAUAAAAAUAAGCCCAAUUUGCAUGUCAAGGAGAAGCAUUUCACAAAAGCUUUAGCAUGAUCAAGGGUUACUGUAGGUGAGUCAUCCAUGACUAGUUUUUCUAUAAACUCAGGUUUGGAACAGAUUGGCGUCUGGGUGAGGGUACAUUGUUUCUGUGGUAAUGAUCCUUUGUAGAUCAGUGGAUUGGAAGUCUUGGCUCUGCUGCCGCCGCAAGAUGAUAAAGCACACGGGAACCAUCUGCGCAGUGCUGGACGCGCUGAAAAAAAAUAGGUUCACUAAACGGUCAGGCCUGCCACACAGCCCAGAGUUC